rnacentral:lncRNA from 1 species
UUCAUUGGGCACUAAUGGUAAAUGGUGCCAAUCAACCUGCCCAUACAGGAGAUACAAGAGACGUGGGCUCAAUUCCUAGGUCAGGAAGACACCCUGGAGGAGGAAAUGGCAUCCCACUCCAGUAUUCUUGCCUGGAAAAUUGCAUGGACAAAGGAGCCUAGCGAGUACAGUCCAUGGGUUGGCGGAGUCAGAUACAACUGAGCAUGUGUGCACGCACAAACCAGGAAACCACUGUUCUCUGGGAAAUGGAGUAGAAUAAUUCAAACUCACUUUAGUAAUUCACAUUCAAGGAGAAGAACCAGCCAAUCCACUUGGUUGUUGUAUAAACCACUUUCUGCAGGUUGUUUUGACACUGUGUGGACACAUUCAGAGUUGUCCAUAGCUGCAACACGCCUGUUAUUUUUUUCCUGAGCUAAAAUUAAAGUAACAGACAGCAAAUAACUGAGUAGGUGAGAUAUAACAAAGCUUUAUAACUGAAGAACAAAGCUAGCCUUUGAGGUGAGAUAAACCAGGUGCUUACUCAUAUGGAAUCCAUUGAAAAACAAGAUUUUUAUGACCUUGAAGUAAAGAUUUUGAUUGAGAGAGUGAUUCAGAUCUUACAAUACUGGCUAGCAGAGGUUUGACCUAAGAAAUAACUGCCUUCAGUAUGUUGAUUUAGAUUUAUUAUGGAAUCUGAAGUUCACAAAGAGCCUGCUUGUAUGUGUCCCUAAGUUGUAUAUCUGAUUGGCGUUUGUUGAUACUGAUGAUCAAGCUAAUAAUAUCUUAAUCUAUACAUGUCUGCAGACCAAAUCAACCUGACCUUCAUGCCCAAAAAACAAAUCCCCGCCUAAUUAAGAUCUAAAAACUCAAUCUGAUAACUUGCUUGCCAUUUGGUAUUAAGGAUGACUCACAGCUGUCCUAAAUACCUCUGCCACCAGAGCUGAAUGAGAACUGGAUGCCCAAGUAGGAAAUUCUGAGAAUCUAACAUCCUUACCAUGCAUUCUCCAUGCAAUGAUGCCAACUCCUCCUUACAGUGUAUCUGCUCUGUGUAUGCUACAGUAAAAGGAGUUUGUGAGUCAGCAGACGGCGGGAAGCACCAGGGCAGAGGAGCAGCUGAGCUGUGUUGCGCCGCCAAGCGCUGUGCUGUCCCCCUCCUGCUCCCAGGCCCUCCUGCUGCCAUCAGCACCCACCUCCCCUCGGAGUUAUCCUUCUGCUUCGGGACUGUUCUCACAGCAUUUAGUGUCAGCUGCCUGCCCUGCUGUGUAAGAAAGAACACAAGGUAAGUUGAGGACACGUUAUUCCCAAAUGACCUAAUUUCAGCAUUGGCCUUUGGCCUUUGUGAGGGCAUGGGCAUGACCAUUGGAUGAGUCAGAGUUUCUGGAAUUUUCC